rnacentral:rRNA from 1 species
GAUGAACGCUGGCGGCGUGCCUAAUACAUGCAAGUCGAGUGAACAGACGAGGAGCUUGCUCCUCUGACGUUAGCGGCGGACGGGUGAGUAACACGUGGAUAACCUACCUAUAAGACUGGGAUAACUUCGGGAAACCGGAGCUAAUACCGGAUAAUAUAUUGAACCGCAUGGUUCAAUAGUGAAAGACGGUUUUGCUGUCACUUAUAGAUGGAUCCGCGCCGCAUUAGCUAGUUGGUAAGGUAACGGCUUACCAAGGCAACGAUGCGUAGCCGACCUGAGAGGGUGAUCGGCCACACUGGAACUGAGACACGGUCCAGACUCCUACGGGAGGCAGCAGUAGGGAAUCUUCCGCGAUGGGCGAAAGCCUGACGGAGCAACGCCGCGUGAGUGAUGAAGGUCUUCGGAUCGUAAAACUCUGUUAUUAGGGAAGAACAAAUGUGUAAGUAACUAUGCACGUCUUGACGGUACCUAAUCAGAAAGCCACGGCUAACUACGUGCCAGCAGCCGCCGUAA